CUUCCUUCUCCGUAAGCUUCUGCUCAGGGUCAGGCAGCCUGGAACUGCAUUUGAAGUGAUUCUGAACGUAGAACAGGAAAGGAGUGUACACUCACCAAACGUAGCUCAUUGGCUUCCCUUCUCCAGGAGGGUGGUGGUGGCAUGGGGAGGGGGGGGAGCAUGACUUGCAGCUCAGUAGUUAUUUUUUAAUUCACAGACCACAUCAGGAACACCACGAUCUGUGCAUGUGUGCAUUUGUUCCAGAGUCACAGCCCUCACCAGCUGUGAGGUCACGUCUCUUGGAAGGCAGUCAUCUACCUUAACCAAGCGCUCUGAGACGCUCGUCAGUGGGACCACAUCUGUCAUUUGGAGAGCUGCUGCUGGUGCUCUGUGCUGUCCUGCUCCUUCUGGUGGCCUGAGAGAGGAUGCGAUUUUUUAAAAUUCAUAUAUUCAGGGGCCUUAAGCAAUCUCGGGAGCAAUUUUCCUCGCCUAGAACACCGCCCUAGGGAAGCUGGCGGGGAUCGGCUGCGGUGUGGCGCCAGGUGAAGGACAGCCCUCGAGUCCAAGCUUCGGAGCUGGGUGGUGAGCCAGAGAGAAAUGUGCCCGCUGAGCAGUCAUCGCCGGCCUGUAAUGGACGCUGAACAAAAGAGAGGCAGGCAUAAGCAUCGCUUUGCUGUGCGGGCUUUCCAUUUGGCUAAGGAGCGUGAAGGACGCCGGAAACAGAGCUCUGGGACUUUCGGUGCAGGCGGCCGCUCGGAGCCGGGCAGUCUUUGUCUCCAACGAGAUUUCUUUUCACAAUCGCGGCUCUGCCUGGAGGGCGGGGUGCUGAAUCCAAGGCCACAGUUUCUCCCUCCUGCUAAAGAGAAGGAAGAGGGCAGGGAUGUAUUGUGCUGGAGCUGGGGACCCGAGCGCACUUCCACGGAGGAGUCUGAAGUCAGAUCUUAGGAAGGACUUCCAGGCCAGAAGGAUAGCCCUUACUCUGGAUUUUGAUUAGCAGCUUUUCAAUGAAACCCAGAAAGCUGUUGUUUGGGAUAAAUUUGAAGACUCUUAGGCUGGAGGGUCUAAGAAUGGUCAGAAGAUUGGGACAGGGUACAUCCCCCACAGGGUUGUGUUUCCCGGCUCCCAAAUGGCUGUGCCUUUCAGCCACUCAGCUGCACCCCAUGCUGUGCCAUUCAUUCACUGAUUGUGUUUAAAAUGGGGCUCCACCAGUGUGAAGCUGGGUGUGGUAUUAACCUCUCAGACUCCAUUGCCUCAUCCCUAAAAUGGGCUUGAUAAUGUCUUCCUCACAGGCGGAGGGACAACAGUGAGUUAAUAUAUGUAAAACAGCCAGCAUACAUGGCCAUGCAUCGGAUAGGGUGCCUUCAGCUGCAAGGAAUUGAAGACCCCGCUAAAAGUGUCUUCACAAAAGGGGGCUAUGUUUCAGAAGAGAACUCUUGAGGCAGGCUCAUUCCCAGAGCUGGAGGGUCUAACAUCUAUCUCUCUGCUCCACUAUCCUCGGCUUGUUUAGGGGUGACACGCCUCAUGGUCUACAGACAACUAAAGCCGUUCCAGGCAUCACAUGUUCAGUUUAAAGAAAUUGACGCCUCCUGCUCUAGUGGAUUUUACUUCCGGUCCCAUUGUCUAGUACAGAGUCAUGUGACUGUGCUCCACCAAUCUUUGGUAAGGGAUAUGAGACCAUCAUGGUUGGCUUAGAUCAAGCAUGAUUCACCAUCCCCACAGGACUGGGAGGGGGUCCUCUUCCCUGAUCACCCUGGAGGGCAAACGAAAGAACAAAAUUUGAGCUUGGCCAUCGAGGAAGAUGCAAAGAACUUGAGGGCACAGAAGGAGAGAACAGAUCCUUGGAACUGAGCGAGCAAGUGUAAUUAUGUGCAUUGCUGGAGUUCCAGGUCUUUCCUCCAGAGGACAUCUCCCCCCAAAGUUGCUGACGUCUGGUCCUUACGGGAUUUCGGGAGGAGACCCAGCACCCUCCCCCCAACCGGCAUUCGUGGAGUCUCAGCGGGGCCCACAGCCGUUCUGCCUCAGCGUGGAGUGAAGGCUAACCGAAAGCAAAGCCUCUGGAGGAAGAGGAAAUGUUCUCUGGAUGCUGAAUGGGAGACCUUGGGGACGUGUGUGUGUGGGGGAGGCCCCUCUCUGACUUGUGCCCAGGGAAAAGUCAUGGUCAAUGAGAAAGCCUUUGAUGGGAGAGAGUCGGUGAUGCAGCCGAGGAACAUCAGCACACAUCACCCGGGAUGGAUGUGGGACCCUCUGUCAGACCAGGCCAGUUCUCCUGAUGUAAGGUCAACAGGCUGAUGUCCUGGGGUACGGAGCUCCCCGGAAGUGGACUGCGAUGCACGAGGAAUCUAGAACUGCUCAUGUCCUGUGUGGUCUCGCUGAGGAAAGCCAGGCAAAAUCUGGCAACUGAGCUGGAACGGCCAGGGCUCUUGGCUCCGAGCAACAGGAAGCAAUUCUGGUUUAUUUCAGCAGAAAAGGACCCUAUCAAAAGGGUCUUGGGAGGCUCACAAAAUAACCAGGAGGGCUGGAGAACCGGGUUUGGAAAGCAGGCCAAACAAAGAAUGCUGCGCAGCGGUCAGGACCAUGGCCAAAGUCAGGCCAAUCCAACGACAAUCCCACUGCCAAGUCCAGGACACCUCGGCUUAUACUGCCACCUCCAGACAUAGCUAUGGUCCCUGCCAUUCCAGGAAUGGAAUGUCAUUGCCAUAGUGACUGCCACCCUCCACCAGAACGGACUUCUGUGCUCCCUACAUCUCUGCAUCAUCACCUGCUGACACUCAGUUGUUCAUGGAGCAUCUGAUUGGCUGAGCAUGAAGAAAACGAAGAUCAGAGGGGCCAAGUCACUCGGCCGAGAUUGUGCGGCCAGCAAGUCUGGUGCCAGGAUUCAAACCAGCUACAUUUCUACCCUGCUUCUUGCACCUGGUGGCUUCUCCGCCCUUCAGGAAACAGCCCACUUGUCAGCAGCUGGGUUCAUUACCACAGUAUCGACCCUGACACGUUCCACGCGGGCCACCUCCCCCGGAGUUCCUCAAUUCACACCCUAAAUGAAACGUAAUUGGACCUGGACAUCUUUGAAGUCCCUGAGCAGCUUGCCAGCAUUUUGAAAUGUCCUUGAUUUGCAUGGUGAAGACCUAGUUGGAGGUGACUUUUUCUUUCCCCUCAUCCCACAGUUUUAAAGACAGAAUGAUUUUAAAUGACAUUCCCCAGCCAGGAGGAGUUACCAUGGAAGAAAUAAAAAUUCUCAAAGCCCCCAAAAGAAAAGGAUUUGAUGAAUCUCUAAUUUGCCCCUCUCCUUGGGUUUUCUUCUGUGACGGCCGCAGG